AACGAACGCUGGCGGUAUGCUUAACACAUGCAAGUCGUACGUGAAGGGGGCUUCGGCCCCUGGAAAGUGGCGCACGGGUGAGUAACACGUGGAUAAUCUGCCCGGUGGCUUGGGAUAACAUCUCGAAAGGGGUGCUAAUACCAAAUAAGCCCACGACAUCUUCGGAUGACGCGGGAAAAGGGGGCUUCGGCUCCUGUCACCGGAUGAGUCCGCGGCCCAUUAGCGAGUUGGUGGGGUAAUGGCCCACCAAGGCUACGAUGGGUAGCUGGGGUGAGAGGAGGAUCAGCCACACUGGAACUGAGACACGGUCAAGACUCCUACGGGAGGCAGCAGUGGGGAAUUUUGCGCAAUGGGCGAAAGCCUGACGCAGCAAUACCGCGUGAGUGAUGAAGGCCUUCGGGUCGUAAAGCUCUGUCAGAGGGGAAGAACCUCUCGCCGGUUAAUACCCGGCGAGCCUGACGGUACCCUCAAAGGAAGCACCGGCUAACUCCGUGCCAGCCGCCGCCGUAAGAC
rnacentral:rRNA from 1 species